GAGAAGGUCAUAGAGGUUAUGGGAUUGGCUUGAAACCAGUCUCUGGGGGGUUCGAUUCCCUCCUUUUUCA
rfam:Homo sapiens chromosome 2, GRCh38 reference primary assembly.